GAUUUUCAGUACUCUUUCCACGUGACAUUGUAAAACUCUUUUUACACAUGUAUCAAAUGAAUGCUCUUUUACAAAGGGAAAUGAUUAAUACAGCAAACAGUAUCUCACGAAGCAAAUCACGAAUGAUGUGGCAUCUUUUAUUUAAUUUAUGAGAGGUGCUAUAUCCGGCGAAUGAUUUUUCACGACACAACUCACGAAACAUGUAUUUGGGUCAUAUAUAAUAGAGAAAUGCUAGUUAUAGCGAAAUUUCUCUCACGAAUAACCACGAAUGAUCUGGCAGACUGACACACCCCACUUGCACUAUUUUAUGGAAUUAAUUAAUUCUGGUUUUUCUCUUACCUCCUUCGUCAUCCACCGCUACCCAAACAACAACACCCCCUUCUCUCUUCUUUCAUCCUUCUCUAUCAAAUUUUUGGUUGGUUUGUACUGUCUCUUUCCUUGUUUUUCUCUCAAUUGAAUUUUAUCCUUUUACCAAAGCAAAUCUCACAGUGUUGUUCCUCUUAUUUCUAAUAUGCAACGUCAAGCAGUUCCUCUUUCUUGGUCCGUAAAGUGCAUUGUUUCAAUAAAGUACAAAAUCACAAUUAAUUUCAUUCCAAUUUCAGCAUGCAAGGUAUGAAGAUAGCAAUAUCAUUAACUAAUUGCAUAAAGGUUGUUGUUGAGAAAUGGGUGAUGAGUGAUUGUGCUAAUUCAUGGAAGUGGAUUUACUUGGCAAAUUUUUCCGUUGAAUUUGUUCUUUGUGUUCUUUGAGUCAUGUAGUUUUAUGCUCUGUUUCAAUCACAACAAACAAUAGAGUUUUUUCCCUCUGUUAUCACACCUUCACAUAUGAAAAAAUAGAAUUUUUUUCCUUCUGAUUUUAAUAUUACUAAAAAGGUGGGUCUACUCUAAAAACGCAAAAAAACAAAAAAAUCAGAAGUGGGUCCCACCACUUCGUGGAAUUUCGCGAAACCAGUUUUCGCUGUAAAUAGCAGUUCUCUAUAUAAUAUGUUCAAAACAGUUGUGUUUCGCUAUACAUAGUGUUUUCCUUAAUUUAAUUAAUUUAAUGAUCUCUCUUUGUAGUCUUUUUUUCAUCUUCCGCUCCGGUGACAAGACUCAAUCUUCUUCUCUUUGCAACUUUGUCUUGUUCUUCUUCCAAAAUUAUUUUUUCUCAAAUAAUUGGCAUAUUCUGUCCCUUUUUACUCCAUAAUUUUUCUCAGAGGUGAAUAUAUAUUUAAAGUCGGGUUUUGAAAAUGAAGAUUUGUUGGAACAUGAUGAAGAAUUAGAGGAAACUUGGUAUUGAAGUAAACACAUUUGUUAGAACCAUGUUAGUGUGAAUUGAAAAAAGGCUCUUUGAGUCCCACAUUGGACAAAUCACACUACUUGGUAGUGUUUAUAUACCACAAGGUGGAAAACCAAGGGUGUGCCCUUGGGGUACCCACUUUUGUAAGAAAGGGAGACCACACACAAUGUCGAAUAUCACACACGCGCGCGCCGCCGGUGAUAUAUUAAUUUUUUAAUACUAAGAAAAAAGAAAUUUUUGAAUUUA
rnacentral:lncRNA from 1 species